rnacentral:tRNA from 1 species
GCUGUUUCAUGCGCUGGUCGAACACAAGAGCGAUAUUCACUCGUAAUGAAAAGGUCGCGAGUUCGAUUCUCGCAAGCGGCUCCA